CUUCACUUGUCGGAGUGCCAUAAGGCUGAGACCGUUUAUUCGGGAUCCGUUGAACCUGAUCAGGUUAAUACCUGCGAAGGGAACAAGAGAAGAUUUUAG
rfam:Vibrio sp. 2756-81 Vn_2756-81_contig1, whole genome shotgun sequence.